AUUGAACGCUGGCGGCAUGCCUUACACAUGCAAGUCGAACGGCAGCACGGGUGCUUGCACCUGGUGGCGAGUGGCGAACGGGUGAGUAAUACAUCGGCACAUGUCCUGUAGUGGGGGAUAGCGCGGCGAAAGCCGGGUUAAUACCGCAUAAGAUCUACGGAUGAAAGCGGGGGACCCUCGGGCGUCGCGCUAUCGGGUUGGCCGAUGGCUGAUUAGCUAGUUGGGGGGGUAAAGGCCUACCAAGGCGACGAUCAGUAGCUGGUCUGAGAGGACGACCAGCCACACUGGGACUGAGACACGGCCCAGACUCCUACGGGAGGCAGCAGUGGGGAAUUUUGGACAAUGGGCGAAAGCCUGAUCCAGCAAUGCCGCGUGUGUGAAGAAGGCCUUCGGGUUGUAAAGCACGUUUGUCCGGAAAGAAAUCCUUGGCCCUAAUACGGUCGGGGGAUGACGGUACCGGAAGAAUAAGCACCGGCUAACUACGUG
rnacentral:rRNA from 1 species